ACCCUUAUGUGUCACAUUAUUAUUGGAAGGUCCAUUUAUGUUUCUCUCUCCUUCGUAACUCAUCUGAAAUCUGAUUUUCUCUUUUUCCUCCAAACUCAAUCUCUUCAUUUUCUCUGUCAAUUCUUAUUUCGAUCUCUUUCUUGGUUAGGGAAAUCCUCCUCCAAGUCCAACUUCUCCGGCCGCCAAUUGACCGGCUUCGGUUUCGGCAGACCCAAGACAACAACCUCCUCCUCCUGCCACAGCUCCGCUGCAGAAGAUGCCCUCCAGAGCCUUGAUUUCGAGCUUCGAAGCCAAGCUCAGCGGCUCCAACUAAACCAGAGCAGUUGUUGGAGAGGGUACUGAACCAUUGGUCUAGAACAUUGGUGUAAAGCAUAUUUUAUUUCCUUCUAUUCUCGUUUCAUUAUUCUGGCGUGGGUUUUUGUAUGUCAAUGUCAUUGUAGAUGCUUCAGAAGCAGAGGAAUUCAGUGAAUUGGCUUCAAAGGCCCUGAACUCACUUCCUUAUGAUUCGCCUGGUCAAGCCUUUGUUGCUUUUGAGAAACCCGCGGGUGUCCCUGCUGUUGGAAAGUUUUCUAACACAUUAACUUUUGUUGUUAAGGAGGUUGACCUAAGCACAUGCGAAGCAGAGGACGAUGGGGUAGAAGAUGAGUAUCAGCUGGAGGAUCUUGAGGUUGUAGCUGCAGAUUACAUGGUGAAGGUGAGCGUCUCCAAUUUCAGGAAUGCAUGGGAAAGCAUGAAUGAAGAAGAUGAGCACGUAGACGAAUAUGGGCUUGGCGAGAGAGAGAGAGUUUGGGAGAAGCUAUGAAGGCUGUCAUCGAUCUUAAGAACCUUCCAUUGGAGCAAUGAGAAAAUUAAUUAUACUAACAAAGUUCUAAACUUCUUAAAUCAUAAAAUUAAAUGUUAAAUUAUUCAUCAGAA